AACAUGCUAGUACGGCGAGUGAAGCGGCAACAGCUCAAUUUGAAAUCUGGCUCUUUUAGAGUCCGAGUUGUAAUUUGCAGAGGGCGCUUUGGCUUUGGCAGCGGUCCAAGUUCCUUGGAACAGGACGUCACAGAGGGUGAGAAUCCCGUACGUGGUCGCUGGCUAUUGCCGUGUAAAGCCCCUUCGACGAGUCGAGUUGUUUGGGAAUGCAGCUCUAAAUGGGAGGUACAUUUCUUCUAAAGCUAAAUAUUGGCCAGAGACCGAUAGCGCACAAGUAGAGUGAUCGAAAGAUGAAAAGCACUUUGGAAAGAGAGUCAAACAGCACGUGAAAUUGUUGAAAGGGAAGCGCUUGCAGCCAGACUUGCUUGCAGUUGCUCAUCCGGGUUUUUACCCGGUGCACUCUUCUGUAGGCAGGCCAGCAUCAGUUUGGGCGGUAGGAUAAAGGUCUCUGUCACGUACCUCCUUUCGGGGAGGCCUUAUAGGGGAGACGACAUACUACCAGCCUGGACUGAGGUCCGCGCAUCUGCUAGGAUGCUGGCGUAAUGGCUGUAAGCGGCCCGUCUUGAAAAACGGACCCA
rnacentral:rRNA from 1 species